CCUACGGGUGGCUGCAGCCGAGAAUAUUCCGCAAUGGGCGAAAGCCUGACGGAGCGACGCCGCGUGAUUGAUGAAGUCCCUCUGGGACGUAAAGAUCUUUUGUCAGGGAAGAAAUUUUUGACGGUACCUGAAGAAUAAGAGGCUCCUAAUCUCGUGCCAGCAGGAGCGGUAAUACGAGAGCCUCGAGCGUUAUCCGGAAUCAUUGGGCGUAAAGGGUGCGUAGGUUGUUCUGUUAGUCUUUUGUUAAAUUCUGGGGCUCAACCCUAGAGAAGCAGAAGAUACGGCAGAACUUGAAAGUGCGAGAGGUAUACGGAACUCAUGGUGUAGGGGUGAAAUCCGUUGAUAUCAUGGGGAACACCAAAAGCGAAAGCAGUAUACUGGCGCAUAUUUGACACUUAAGCACGAAAGCGUGGGUAGCGAAUGGGAUUAGAUACCCUAGUAGUC
rnacentral:rRNA from 1 species